ACAAAGCCAGAGAUGAAAUCCGCGCCCACAAUCAAAAUUAAAAGACCCAUUACAUUUUGAUUUGAUCUUUCGAUUAUUAUUUUAUUACACACAUGCCUUUCCCCUCUCUUCCUUCUUCUCCCACUCUCUCAUUUUCUCUCACACCCUCUUCAUUUCCCCAUCUAAAAUGGAAGAAGACGAUUCCAGUAAGGUUCUUGAUCUCAUUAAGGACCUUGUUUUUCGUCUUCUUUCCCACAAUCCCACCUCCAAUUCCAGCCCUACCUCCUCUGAUUUCCAAAAGUCUCUUCGCUAUGCAAUUCGCAUUCUCACUAGCCGAAUGACUCCUUCCAUUGCUCCUGAUGCUGCCGCCAUUGCUGGGUCCAUCAAGCGCAGGCUCGCCACUGAGGGUAAGUCUUCUCAGGCUCUCACUUUUGCUGAUCUUUACACUAAAUUUGCAUCCAAAACUGGCCCUGGGAGUGUGAAUAAUAAGUGGGCUGUGCUUUAUUUGCUCAAAAUUGUGGCGGAGGAUCGUAAAUGUAGACAGACCCAGUUCGAAUCAUCAGUGCUUUUGCCUAAUUUGGUAGCGAGUGAUCCUGUGUUGGGAAAAAAGUCUGGGGCGGCCCCAGAGAAGGAGUGGCAGAAGGGGGUUUUGUUGGUUGCGAAGGACCCUGAGAAUCUUCGCGAUGUUGCUUUUAAGGAGUUUGCUAAUUUGCUGAAGGAGGAAAAUGAAGUGACUGAAGAGGUUUUGGUGAGGGAUGUGUUGUAUGCUUGUCAAGGAAUUGAUGGAAAGUAUGUGAAAUUUGACAAUAAUUCUGAUGGUUAUGUUCUAUCCAAUUUAGUUAAGGCUUCCAGGGCAACUAGGACGAUGAUUCGCAAGCUCUGUGAAAUGGGGUGGCUGUUUAGGAAGGUUAAAGGUUAUAUCUCGGAGAGUAUGGAACGUUUUCCAGCUGAAGAUAUUGGAACUGUUGGACAUGCUUUUUGUGCUGCAUUGCAGGAUGAGCUUUCAGAAUACUAUAAACUGUUGGCAGUUCUCGAAGCCCAGUCGAUGAAUCCGAUACCUUUGGUUUCAGAGGCAGCAAGUUCAGGAAACUAUCUGUCUCUAAGGAGAUUGGCAGUCUGGUUUGCUGAGCCAAUGGCGAAAAUGAGGUUGAUGGCUGUAUUGGUUGACAAGUGUAGAGUCUUGAAGGGUGGGGCAAUGGCUGGGGCCAUCCAUUUACAUGCUCAGCAUGGUGACCCCUUGGUGCUUGAAUUUAUGAGGCGUUUGCUGCGACGUGUAUGCUCUCCCCUUUUUGAGAUGGUAAGGAGUUGGGUUUUAGAAGGGGAGCUGGAAGACAUAUUUUCUGAGUUUUUUGUUGUUGGGCAACAAGUGAAAGCUGAAUCUCUGUGGAGGGAAGGUUAUAGGCUUCACGCUGGCAUGCUUCCAUCUUUUAUUUCGCAAUCUCUAGCCCAACGUAUUUUGAGGACUGGGAAAUCGAUUAAUUUCCUUCGUGUCUGUUGUGAGGAUAUGGGAUGGGCUGAUGCUGCAACAGAAGCAGCAGUAGCUGCUGGGACUACAACUAAAAGGGGAGGUCUUGGAUAUGGUGAAACAGAUGCCCUUGAAUCUUUGGUAGAUGGAGCAGCAAAAAGAAUAGACAAACACUUGUUGGAUGUAAUGCACAAGCGAUAUAAGUUCAAAGACCAUUGUCUAGCAAUUAAGCGCUAUUUACUAUUAGGACAAGGAGAUUUUGUCCAAUAUUUGAUGGAUAUUGUUGGGCCUGAGCUUUCUGAGCCUGCUAAUGCUAUUAGCUCAUUUAAGUUAUCUGGUCUCCUGGAAACAGCAAUUCGGUCCUCUAAUGCUCAGUAUGAUGAUCCAGACAUCUUGGAUAGAUUAAAGGUUAAGAUGAUGCCUCAUGGAACUGGAGAUAGGGGUUGGGAUGUAUUCUCAUUAGAAUAUGAGGCAAGCGUUCCACUAGAUACUGUAUUCACAGAGUCUGUCAUGUCAAAAUAUUUAAGGAUCUUCAAUUUCCUGUGGAAGCUUAGACGUGUUGAGCAUGCACUUAUAGGUACUUGGAAGACGAUGAAACCAAACUGCAUCACGUCCUGUUCAUUAACUAAGCUGCACCAUGGGGUUAAGUUGCAAUUGCUCUCAACAUUGAGGCGAUGCCAGGUCCUUUGGGUUGAGAUGAAUCAUUUUGUUACAAACUUGCAAUACUACAUAAUGUUUGAAGUCUUGGAGGUAUCGUGGUCUGACUUCUCUAAUGAAAUGGAAGCAGCAAUGGAUCUGGAUGAUUUACUUGCCGCUCAUGAAAAGUAUCUUCAUUCAAUAUUUGAGAAAUCUCUUCUUGGAGAACAAUCUCAGACACUUUGCAAGUCACUUUUUGUCUUAUUUGAUCUAAUAUUGCGAUUUCGAAGUCAUGCAGACAGGUUGUACGAAGGAAUACAUGAAUUACAAUGCAGGACAAUAGAAUCAUCUUUACCCUCCAGAGACAAGAGUAAAAAGAAUCGUUCAACAGAAAAAUCUUUAGAAACAACAUCGUGGGUAGCUGAUGGCAAGAAGGCUCUAACACAACGUGCUGGUGAAUUUCUUCGGAAUGUUGAACAAGAUCUAGCUGCAUUAGCUAAAGAGUAUUCUUCAUUGCUUGAGGGAUUCAUUUCUCAGCUGCCUAUGCAACAACAUGUUGAUUUGAAGUUUCUCCUAUUCCGUCUUGACUUCACUGAAUUUUACAGCCAAUUACAACCUCAUGUGUAGAGUGGAUGUCAGAUGUAUAUCUCACAUGGCCUUUCGUUGUUAGUCACAAUUGGCAGAGCUUCUAACCAAUCUUUCAUGGCAUCCACAGGGAUCAACCAUUGAAAAUUUCAUUGCCUGCCAUGUAAUUUUAGGUCUGUAUUUCUAUGAAGCUUUGGUGGAGCCAAGAUGAGAAGCAGUCGGAGGAUAGUAUUUUAGCUUUAUUACACAGUAUGGACUGUGUUACACAGUUUAAUGCUAUGCUUGCUAUAGGCUUCAACUACUUUUGCAUUGUUAGACGGUGGGACCUUAAGGUGGUGGAUUUUGUGUUGUAAUGUGCAACGUUGUAUGUUGUAUAGUUUGCAGGUCUUGUUUUUUAUUUGGUUUCUCUGUUGCUUGGUAUUUAUCUGCAUUCUUAUCCCUCAUGAAAGUCCAAGUACGUUGUCGUAAAUAGUUUAUAGUUCAUGCAGGCUUAAUGUAUUGCCUUGGAAGUUCCUUAUAAAUAUUAAUCUAGGGAGCAUUUUAUCGGCUGCAGUGAGGGUCCCCCCACCCCCCACCAUUUUGCAGGCAGAUUCAUUAGGAUUCAUUGCUGGAUGAUUGUAAUCAUUGCUUAAAUAUAUAAUAAAAUUCUAUUCAAUGGCCUAGCAAGUAGCAAUAAAUCAAUAAAAUGUACUGUCAUGGGAAUCUUGUAUACUGAAUUGUGGUGAGUUCAUUGCCUCCCAAGAACCAAGGGAUCCUUGUCUCAAUUUAAUCAUUUCUGUCUGAUUGUACCUUUUUGUAACUUACAUAUUAGCUUCAAAGAAAUUUGGUAGUUGGGCUUUUCCCACUUCAGUGGGCAGCCUUUGCUUAUAGAAUGAUGAUGAAGAAAAUUUGGAUCACCUUUUUCUUCAUUGUUCUCAUAUACCUCCGGGUUGGGCGGCUUGGGUUUUCUGGUGGGGAAUUCGACGUUUCUAGCUGCCUGUGUUUUUCUGUUGUGGAUUGGAUGCAAGAAUUAUGAUUUCUGAAUGGGUGAGUGCAGAAGGAAGAGCAAAGAUUAUGGAGAUGUACCUCUAAAGCCACUUUGUGGGAAAUAUGGAAGGAAAGAAAUCAAAGAGUUUUUAGAGAUAAAUCUACUUCUUUUGACCCAUUUUGUAAUUAUGUGCAGCUGAUUUCUUCUUUUUGGUGUCUAAGACACCAGGGGACUUCAAAGAACUCAUAAUAUUGGCUGUUGCUGAAAAGCGUCGGUGAUCUAGAAUCAGUUUUUUCUGUAGCAAUGGCCAAUAUCACUUGGAUUAAAUUGGAGGGUCUUAUACUCUGAUAUCAUAAUCUCCAAUUGAUUAAUAGGAUGGAUGAUCCUUUUCAUGAGGUUCAACCGUUUCUGAGAGAUGUUUGGCAAUUGGAGCCCUCCUUUGCUUCUAUACAUUAUCGGUUUGUGAAGUGAGAUUGAAAUAUGUUUGUUCAUGAGUUGGCUUGUCGGGGUUUUUUUAGAGUUCUUUCUCUUGGUGCUGUAAGUUCCUUCUUGUUUGAUUUCACAUUUUUAGCAUGAUACUAGGCACUUUGUAAUUUGGUUGGAUGUAUUCCAUCUUUAUGAUUAAUGGUAGGUUUUAUUGGUCUCAAGAAAAAAAGAACAAAAAAAAAAAAAAAAAAAAAAAAAA